AGAUUAAGCCAUGCAUGUCUAAGUACAUGCCGAAAUAAGGCGAAACCGCGAAUGGCUCAUUAAAUCAGUUAUGGUUCCUUAGAUCGUUUCUUCCUACUUGGAUAACUGUGGCAAUUCUAGAGCUAAUACAUGCAGUGAGCCUGGAGCCCUUUGGGUAACGGGUGCUUUUAUUAGACCAAGAUCGAUCGGGUUUCGGCCCGUAUUGUGUGGUGACUCUGGAUAACUUUGUGCUGAUCGCAUGGCCACGAGCCGGCGACGUUUCUUUCAAGUGUCUGCCUUAUCAACUUUCGAUGGUAGGUUACUUGCUUACCAUGGUUGUUACGGGUAACGGAGAAUCAGGGUUCGAUUCCGGAGAGGGAGCCUGAGAAACGGCUACCACAUCCAAGGAAGGCAGCAGGCGCGCAAAUUACCCACUCCCGGCACGGGGAGGUAGUGACGAAAAAUAACAAUACGGGACUCUUUUGAGGCCCCGUAAUUGAAAUGAGUACACUCUAAAUCCUUUAACGAGGAUCAAUUGGAGGGCAAGUCUGGUGCCAGCAGCCGCGGUAAUUCCAGCUCCAAUAGCGUAUACUAAAGCUGCUGCGGUUAAAAAGCUCGUAGUUGGAUCUCAGUUCCAGACGAGUAGUGCAUCUACCCGAUGCGACGGCUCGGACUGAACAUCAUGCCGGUUCUUUCUUGGUGCACUUCAUUGUGUGCCUCGAGAUGGCCGGUGCUUUUACUUUGAAAAAAUUAGAGUGCUCAACGCAGGCGAGUCGCCUGAAUAAACUUGCAUGGAAUAAUAGAACAAGACCUCGUUUCUGUUCUGUUGGUUUUUGGAAUACGAGGUAAUGAUUAAGAGGGACGGACGGGGGCAUUCGUAUUGCGGCGCUAGAGGUGAAAUUCUUGGACCGUCGCAAGACGAACUACUGCGAAAGCAUUUGCCAAGAAUGUUUUCAUUGAUCAAGAACGAAAGUCAGAGGUUCGAAGGCGAUCAGAUACCGCCCUAGUUCUGACCAUAAACGAUGCCAACCAGCGAUCCGCCUGAGUUACUCAAAUGACUCGGCGGGCAGCUUCCGGGAAACCAAAGUAUUUGGGUUCCGGGGAAGUAUGGUUGCAAAGCUGAAACUUAAAGGAAUUGACGGAAGGGCACCACCAGGAGUGGAGCCUGCGGCUUAAUUGACUCACCCGGGAAAACUUACCCGGCCCGGAAACUGGGAGGAUUAAAGAUUGAAACUCUUUCUGAUUCGGGGGAGGGGGGGG
rnacentral:rRNA from 1 species